AAGCAAUUUCCAGCUUAAAGAAACCCUAAAAACUCUCUCUUCUUCUCAGGCGCCGCUUAAAAAAAAAUUCUGAUAUAGGGCUGGAGAUUGGUUGCGAUCUUAGCACCACCUAUGGCCACUUCCAUAUUUGCUUUAGUUUUCAUUUCUUGUAUUCCUUUUCUUUUAUCGCGGCAGUUCCUAACUCUUUCUAAGUUUGGCUAGUGUGGACUAACGUUUCAUGUCCGGCGUGUUUUGAAGAUUCGUGACAAUGCGUGGAGAGCAGAUCUACCUCUGACGGCUCUGAAUUUGAUAGAUCUGGUUGUUGUGUGGUCUAAAUUACGGUUCAACCGGCUUCACUCGUUAAAGGAUUUAGGUUAUCUCUCAAUUCCACUUUUUACCUCUCCUACAAGUCUCGUCUCUCGCCGUCGGAAGCUUCCUCUUGGGUUUUUUCUGAAGGUUGUAGCAGCUGGUUUCGUUACAUGGUUCUGUCAUUCUCCGGUUGGGUUUCAUUCUGUGGGUUCUUCAUUCGGAUGGUAACCUCCUAUAAUCGCAUCUACUAGCUCCUCCUUGGGAUCUUUCUUGGUUUCAGGGCAGUAAUCUAGACGUUGUGGCGGGUUCGAUCUCUUGUCCUUCUCUUUGCGUAGCGUAACCAGUCCUUAGUCUGUAGAUGGCUUUGGCUGGGUCUACGAAGGUCCGUGUGUAACGAUAGGUGGUCCUCUUUGGCGUUUCCCCUCCCGUUUCUCAAGGCUUCUCCUUGAUCCUCCGCCAAUUCGUUUCCAUUGUUACUAGAUUGGUCAGGAUGGUUAGGUUCCGUGUUCUGUUCUACUUGUUGUGCCGUCUUCGUUUCUAGUGUGGAGGUGGGUGUGUGAGCUCGUUUUAGUUCUCUCUUCGGGCUAUAAGUAUGUCUGAUGACAUAUGAUCUUUGGGUUCUUUCGAGGCUACAUAGCGACUGUAUUGCGACCAAAUAAUUUAGCGAUACAUGGUUUGGAGACUACAUUAUUCAGUCGCUAAACAGUCGUUUUAAGGUACUUAACGACGGAAUAGUGACUGUUUUUGCAGUCGUUAAUCACAUGUUUUCUUGUAGUAGCCUGCAGCAACAGCUUGAGGAAGCUACUCGGAAGAUAGAGGAACAAGUAGCUAUUCAAGCAGAGCGUGAAGCAGAGGCUUCACGGGUUGCAGUAGAGGCUUCACAGGUUGUAGCUGAGAUCAAGCACUUGAAGCUAGUCAAGAAGUACUUGAGCGAAACUGACCCCAAUUUCAUUGCUUUCCUCAACUCUAAGUCCAAUGAUGCCUCUGCAAAUGAAUAGGCUCUCUUACUUUCCCUCCUACUAGAACUUGAAAGAACGUGAAAACAUGUGUAGGUUGUAUUGUAUUUGAACUUGGUUGUAUUAUGUUUGAACUUGGUUGUGUAUUUUGUUGAACAUGAAAACAUGUUUUGUUUUUGUGUUGAACAAAAAUAUUAUAAAUAAACUUUUUUUGUGUUUUACAAACAA